rnacentral:snoRNA from 1 species
GGCCUCUCCUCCUUGGGACCAUAGGGGGCCAGUUUCUCCUCUGCCAAGGACAAGGCCUAGAUCAGCCCCGAGGAUCAUUGUGAGGACUGCCAGGAGUUGGCCAGCCUUGUUUUCCUGCCUCAGACAUUC